rnacentral:tRNA from 1 species
UGAUCUUUAGCUCAGUUGGUAGAGUGUGAGGCUCGUAAUCUCAGAGCCAUGGGUUCAAGCCACACAGGAUUCU